GCGCCAGUAGCUCAGUGGAUUAGAGCACUUGUCUUCGGAACAAGGGGUCGGGAGUUCAAAUCUCUCCUGGCGCA
rnacentral:tRNA from 1 species